GUGCUUGCUACAGCAGCACAUAUACUAAAAUGGGAACGAUACUGAGAAGAUUAGCAGGGUUCCUGCACAAGGAUGACACACAAAUUUAUGAAGUGUUCCAUAUAUUU
ensembl:snRNA U6 U6 spliceosomal RNA